GCUGGCACGGUGGCACGCACCUGUAGUCCCAGCUACUCAGGAGGCUGAGGCAGGAAAAUCACUUGAGCCCUAGAGUUCUGGGCUGUAGUGUGCUAUGCCAACUGGGUGCCUGCGCUAAGUUCAGUGCCAAUAUGGUGACCUCCAUGGAGUGGGGGACCACCAGGUUGCCUAAGGAGGGGUGAACCGGCCCAGGUCGGAAACAGAGUAGGUCAAAACUCCUGUGCUGAUCAGUAGUAGUAGGAUCACAACUAUGAAUAAUCACUGCACUCUUGGCCUGGGCAACAUAGCAAAGUCCUGUCCCUA
rnacentral:SRP_RNA from 1 species